CCUACGGGAGGCAGCAGUGGGGAAUAUUGCACAAUGGGGGAAACCCUGAUGCAGCGACGCCGCGUGAAGGAAGAAGUAUUUCGGUAUGUAAACUUCUAUCAGCAGGGAAGAAAAUGACGGUACCUGACUAAGAAGCCCCGGCUAACUACGUGCCAGCAGCCGCGGUAAUACGUAGGGGGCAAGCGUUAUCCGGAUUUACUGGGUGUAAAGGGAGCGUAGGCGGUUUAGCAAGUCAGAAGUGAAAGCCCGGGGCUUAACUCCGGGACUGCUUUUGAAACUGUUGAACUAGAGUGCAGGAGAGGUAAGUGGAAUUCCUAGUGUAGCGGUGAAAUGCGUAGAUAUUAGGAGGAACACCAGUGGCGAAGGCGGCUUACUGGACUGUAAAUGACGCUGAGGCUCGAAAGCGUGGGGAGCAAACAGGAUUAGAUACCCGGGUAGUC
rnacentral:rRNA from 1 species